AUUGAACGCUGGCGGCAGGCCUAACACAUGCAAGUCGAGCGGCAGCGGAAAGUAGCUUGCUACUUUGCCGGCGAGCGGCGGACGGGUGAGUAAUGUCUGGGAAACUGCCUGAUGGAGGGGGAUAACUACUGGAAACGGUAGCUAAUACCGCAUAACGUCGCAAGACCAAAGAGGGGGACCUUCGUGCCUCUUGCCAUCAGAUGUGCCCAGAUGGGAUUAGCUAGUAGGUGGGGUAACGGCUCACCUAGGCGACGAUCCCUAGCUGGUCUGAGAGGAUGACCAGCCACACUGGAACUGAGACACGGUCCAGACUCCUACGGGAGGCAGCAGUGGGGAAUAUUGCACAAUGGGCGCAAGCCUGAUGCAGCCAUGCCGCGUGUAUGAAGAAGGCCUUCGGGUUGUAAAGUACUUUCAGCGGGGAGGAAGGUGUUGAGGUUAAUAACCUCAGCAAUUGACGUUACCCGCAGAAGAAGCACCGGCUAACUCCGUG
rnacentral:rRNA from 1 species